CACGGGGGUAACCCUGGUGGCGAGUGGCGAACGGGUGAGUAAUACAUCGGAACGUGUCCUGUAGUGGGGGAUAGCCCGGCGAAAGCCGGAUUAAUACCGCAUACGAUCUACGGAAGAAAGCGGGGGACCGAAAGGCCUCGCGCUAUAGGGGCGGCCGAUGGCAGAUUAGCUAGUUGGUGGGGUAAAGGCCUACCAAGGCGACGAUCUGUAGCUGGUCUGAGAGGACGACCAGCCACACUGGGACUGAGACACGGCCCAGACUCCUACGGGAGGCAGCAGUGGGGAAUUUUGGACAAUGGGGGAAACCCUGAUCCAGCAAUGCCGCGUGUGUGAAGAAGGCCUUCGGG
rnacentral:rRNA from 1 species